UUUUUCAUUUUACUUUAUUAUUAUUUAUUAUUUUCUUGUCGGUCGCCGGCGGCUCUCGGGUUCUCACCCGCGUGCUCGGAAUCGAUCGGCCGAGUAGGGUUUUCCUCUUACGAUUUCCGCCUCCACCGCCGGAGUCGGGUCCAUUUCACCGAGAUUGAGAGCUGAACUGCGUCGCCGAGGCUUCGAAUCGCGCGUUUUCCAGAAGGAGGUGGCGGCGGCGAGUGACGCUGAUGAUUUUUGGAUCUCGCUCAGAUGACGAUGAUCUGGAACUUGGCUUGAGCGAGAUGUUCUUGAGCCGGCCGGCGGUGGGGGACUCGGUCUGCGCCUGCUUCAGUUCGCGUUUGGAGUCGCUCCGCUUGGCGUCAUGGUCUCCACCAACGAUUUCUCCUCCGUUAUUGCCUUCUGAGUACCAAAUCUACUCUUCGGUCGGUGGAUCAACCCAGCGGCCGUGGUCCUUUAUGAGCUGGAUUAGAGCAUCAGUUGCUCCCUCCAUUGCGAUGCCUCUCUUCAGCACAGUCUGGUACAAAAAUAAGAAGAAAGAAACAUGAUAUGAGUUUUAAUCAGUCAUUCCUAAACAGCAUCAACAAUGGCCAAGGAAAGUGAAUUGAAAGCUGUAAUUUCACAAAGCAAAGCAGUUUGGAUGCGAUGAUAUUGUGGAGAAGACAGGCAUUACCUUCCCAACAUAAAGAUCGAUCUUCCCUGGAGCACCACCAACAUAACCAAAAUCUGCAUCAGCCAUCUCUCCUGGUCCAUUCACAAUGCAACCCAUGAUCGCAAUCUGCAAAGAAGUUGAUGGAGUGUCAGUUCUGAAAAUGUCUAACAGGAAUGCUUGAACAAACAAUGCCAGCAGUGGGAAUGGAGUUUACCGAAACACCAGGAAGAUGUGAAGUCUUUGUCCUGAUCUCGGCGCUUAUAUCUUGAAGAUCAAAGAGUGUCCGUCCACAAGAUGGGCAAGAGACGUACUCCUGAAAUAUAUUGCAGGAAUAGAUGAGAAAUUACGAAAUAUGAAAAUAACUUUUUGCAUUGCAAUUCAAAGUACUAGAAGGUUUGUGUGAAUUGCUUACAGUCUUUGUGUUGCGCAUUCUGCAGCCUUGAAGCAAGUUAAAGGAUGUAUUCCUUAGGAACUCGAACUCCUGCUCAGGAGCCUCAAGUAGGAUACCAUCUCCAAGCCCAUCAACUAAAAGAGAACCAGCAUUGCUCCCAGCCGUGAUCACCAGAUCGUCUCUGUCAAUUGCAGGACAACAAUGUGAAUGAACAGAUAGUUUCCACUUACAACCUUCGAUAGGUUUUUAUCAAGAUUGCAAUCUCACCCGUGGAUCCCUUUAGGAAAUUGGAUAUGGUGGAUAACAGGGAAGUUAAGUGAACUUUCUUCUAGAUACUCAAACAACCUGAUAGCAGUAAAGAAAUUUGGAUUCAUGUCAAAGGAUGUACUAUUCGUCUUGAUAAUUUAUAGUCGCUAGCAUCACUUACCUCCUUGCUGCAUGAACUCGGCUGAGCUUCUCUUCGCUCAAUGGAACAUCAUGUAGUAACAUUGUGAUAUUAUCAACAUUCUUGAUGAUAUCUAGCUCCUCAUAUGGUUCAUCCCCGCGAAUAGUUACAGCUAACCGAGUAUCUAGAAAACGAGCACAUCUUUGAAUUAGAACAGCAUUGUGACAAAGAAGCAUGGAAUUGAAUGAUAAGAUAUGUCACCUCUUGGCAAAAGCUUGUGAGCACCAGUUGAAAGUUCGUCAAGGUUUACAAGGACAAUUGCAUUAGGAAGUGGUUUCUCCAGCUGCUCGGAUAACGGAACUAUGACACCCAUGCUUAUAUCGAUCAACCUUUUGAGAGCCAACCUCUAAUCAAAGCUUCAGCAUCAUCUAGAGGAGGAAGUUCUCUCAAAAGAAUAGAGUCCACAGUUGCCAGGUCCUGAAAAUCUCGAAAGGUUAAGGUGAUUCUUUGGACUAGUUUCAAGCAUAGCAUUUGCAAUUCAGAAUCACAAACCUUGAAAGGCAUUCCAACCACAAGCUUUGCAGCAAGAGACUUGUAAAGAAGCUCCGGAGUCUGACAAAAGAAAUUAGCAACGUGUGACGAACGGCCAAAUAGAUGCAAAUAUAACAAAUGGGGUUGUGAGAUGUUCAUGAUAUUAAGAGAGGACAAAGAUAAACCAAACUAAGCAUUGUAUCUGCAUGAUGCUAAUGUGUGGUGUGAAUGUGGAGUGAUGAGUAUUCAGCUCAUGGUUCAAACUUCAAAGGAUCAGGAAAAGUGGAGACUAAUUCAAUUCAUCAAGUUGUGUUUUUCGAAACCACAAGAAAUCACUCAGAAUUGUCGGGGCCAAGCGUCGACUGAAUUUGACGAUGCCGGCAUUGCAAUUCAUUUUCUUAAUAUUACCAAGUGCAACACUACUGUAUAAGGUAUCUGAUUGGCUAUCUACCUUGAGCAGGUCCAAGGACACUGGCAUAAGAACAGAACCAUCACGAUGAAGAACUCCACGGUAAUCCACUUCUUCACCCUAUCAAAAGAAGUGGCAAAUUUCAGAAACUUUUCUAUGGAUGUUGAUGCAAUGAACCAAAGACAUAAUACUAAUAAAAGAUUGCUAACCUCUAUCUGCACUGGAAGUUGACCUGUUCUUCGCUGGAAGUCAAAAUACCUUCUAUGUUUCUCCUCAAAAGGUGCCUAAACAUUUUUGGGAGUCACAAGGUUAGUUUUGAGCACAAAAACCAUUAGACAAUUGCGCUUAGUUGGAAUGACACAUACAGUUCCUUUCUGAAGAUUUGAAGCUUGCAUUCCAAGGUUAGCCAACCGCUUACAAGGAUCAAUCUCUUUCUCCGGUGGUUCUGUCAAAGACACCCUGAUUGUAUCGCCCAAACCAUCCUGUUGAACAAUGCAACCAAUGUUAGAGCAUAUUAGCUUCACAAAAUACGUGUACAUUCUGGAAAAUAAAGGACUUUGAAAAUUACAGACCUGAAGAAGUGUGCCAAUACCGAUUGCGGAUUUCAUCCUUCCAUCUUCUCCCUCUCCAGCUUCAGUAACUCCUAAGUGGAGAGGAUAGUCCCAACCUUGAGCAUACAUCUCAGCAACAAGCAACCGAUAGGCUUGAACCAUGAUAACUGGGUUACUCGCUUUCAUUGAGAAGACAAAAUUGUGGAAGUCUAGCUUCCGGCAUAUCCUUGCAAAUUCAAAGGCCGAUUCAACCUAUUGCAGAAAUAGAAAGUUUUUCAGCAUAGAUUUGUUUGAAGAACCAUUUUCGAUGUGUAGCUUAUGAACAAGAAUACUGACCAUUCCUCUUGGAGAAUCUCCAUAGUAGCUCAUGAUACGAUCAGAAAGACUUCCAUGGUUUGUCCCAAUUCGGAUUGCUCGUCCAUAUUGCUUGCAUUUCUCAACCAAUGGAGUGAAGACCUGACCAGAUAGAUGAACAUUUGAUGAACUUCACAGGAUAGUAGGAUUCAGUAAUCUCAGAAGGAUUUCACGAGAAAUUCAUAAGUUUCAACUAUAAGUGGCAAUUAUCUGAACCUUUUCGAUGUGCUCAAGCUCUUUUUGAUAUUCAUCAUCAGUAUACUCUAACUGCUCAAACUGUGCUCGCCUAUCAGCUGUAAAGAAAGUGUUUCAGUAUCAAUUCAAAGUUAACAGUAACUUUCUUCUUCAAA